CGUCGGCCAUGUUGGGAAGGUCGGGCUCGGAGUUAAAAAAGGGCGAGUCCAUUACGUUCGGAAACGUCCGUCGGCAACACGCGUCUGCCAUGUUAGGGUCUUCUUAGGACAACAGUCUCUAUCUUACACCCAGAAUCAGACAACAGCUCAAGACUGAGAGAUACCCAAGACCCUUCUAUGUGAGGAUGUGACAUCCUCAGGUUGGGAGGAACUAUAACCCCAAGCAUCUGCCAUGGUAUAAAUUAUUUACAAACUCCAAAAGAAUUGAGUGUGGUCUCAGGAAAUAAGAGGAACUACAGUAAAACCAUGAUAGUGCUUUGCUAUCGGGCAAUAAUCUAAGUUACUUAAAAAUUGAAGUCUGCACCUUUGUGACAAAAUAAAACAUUUCAGGGGACAUGUGGAAGUGGAAGGAAUAUGUGGACUUCAUAUCAGACUACAAGGAUCUUGGAAAAACGUAAUGCACUUUACUGUGUGCUGUGGCUUUUUUGUUACAGAUACUGACAUAGGCAUAGUAGUACAGUGAUCUGCCUUCUUCCCAUUUUUCUCAACAGUAGCUACAGUAUUUUAAUAUCUUCAAGUGGGUAGAAUUCUAGUUAUGCAUGCUGCAGGUUACUACAGGUUGAGCUAGAAUUUAACCAGGUAUCUCUCUUCCCCCAUGAAUACCUAGUUAUGCAGCUCAUUUUUAUGGAUAUUAACCUUUUUGCUACAAAGAGGGAAGUAUAGGUUUAUAAUACUAAAAUAGGUAAUUGUAUUCUUGACUUUAUUUUAGUAUUGGCUAGUCUCUAAGGAUACAGCGAUACAGUUUUAGAGAAAUAGUCUGAAUUUUUUUUGCGGCUACUUAAUUUUGAAAAAAAAAAAAAAAAUUCAAGGUGACAUCCAAAUACAUAUCCGAACAAAAUUACUUAUACAAUAGUUCUGCUACUUUAUAUAAAGUAUAACCCAUGUUAAUACUAUCAUAAUCCAUUUCUUGAACUAAUUGAGAUAGUCAAUGUGUAAGAGAAAAUUUAGAAAUAUAAAAUGAAGUAUAGACAGUUCAACCUACAUUAUCCAUCUUUUUUCUGUAAUACUGCUUAAAACAUUUUUCUAGUGUAAUUUCACAAAGUUUCUGGUAAAUACACAAUAGUUUUAAACAAAAUAUAUUACUCAGUUUUGCAACAAUAUUUGUACCAUUUUUAUUUGUAAAAAUAACCAUCUGAAUGCAUUUCAAUAGUAGCUUACAGUCAGGGUACUUCAUUACAUUAAUACAGCAUUCAGUAGUUGAAAAAGAUACUAAGCUGUGCUUGAACAGAUUCAGAUUGGAUUCCAAGUCAUUCACUGGAAUAAGUAUUUUUUUUCCUCAUUUUGUACAGUCAUGACAUUUACUGAAGUCAUUAAACUCCAAUUUACAUAAGAAAACAUUACAGACGAAACCCUACCAAAACCAUCAAACAAUAUUUUAUAUUGUUUAUGACAAAUAUGUUAUCCAAAAUAUAACACUGGCACCAGAUUUGUAUCACCAUCGUUUGUAAAGAUAUAUUGCACAUGCUAAAGCAUAAAAUAAGAUGAAACUACAAAACAUAAGGUUAUUGGCUUUUAAUAUGUAGAUCACUGCAUAAGAAACGCAUAGAAUUACAUUUUAUGCACACUCUCAGAUUGUCACUAUUUAAAACGUCCUGCCCUAUAAACACUGACCUAAGGUUUACUUUUUGUGUAAUAAGAAAGCCUUU